UGCUACUACUACAUAUCCGGUAGGUUACAUUUGGUGCGCUGGACCUGUUAGGGAAUGGGGGUUUCAAAGCUAAUAUACGGACGACCCGUAUAACUCGUAAGUCCUCAAUUAUAGCGCUGAAAGAGUGGCCUGAUCCGCAUAAGCAAAUCGCGAGGAUGAGUGUAGAUUCAGAAUAGUGUUCAGCGUUUAGCAUUUGAACUUCUCCUCUUUGCUGCGGCAGCAGGGCGUUUUGUCCUGGGGUCACUGACCCCCUGCUCCUCCAUCAGCUGCAUUGAAACCUUAAUUGAAUGACAGAUGGUCAGCUUAGUGCGGGAUAAAGCUCAAGAACAGAUAAGACCAACACAUAAAAAUAUGGUCAAGUUAGUACUCUUAAAUAUGGGCUUUGCAGGUUACACGUACUCAUCAUACACGUACCGAAAGGCUAUUUCAGAACCUCAGAGCUCGAAAUUUUAUUUGAAGGAAAAUUCUCUCGAGGAUAUUUGUGCGGCUUUUACAGAAUUGCAGUGUGUUGAAGCCAGUACGUGGGGAAGUAAAUACUUGCAAUAAUCAGUAGAAAGCGUUUAAUUUAAUCGUUUUCUUUAGUUAAAAAAAAGCUAUUUGUAAGUUGUCAUUUACUGCUAAUGUGACGUUACAGACGUCUCAAGCAGAUGUGUGAGGGCUUACGUGAAUAAGCACUAUAGGUUUUUAACGAGAUUAUGUUCGACAGGAGAGGUUUUCGUACGAUGAAAAGAAAAAAAAUCGGUUAUUAUUAUUAAAAUUUCGAUGUUAAUCAUGAACAACAUGAACUACUAUUACUUUUGUUAAGGCUAUUUCUACCAGGGUUCUGUCCGAUAAAUCUUUAGUAGCCUAUGUUUUAAAUUUUAUGUAUAUUCUGACAUAACUUGAUUUUCGGUUAUUUGUACUACAUUGGAAAACGGUAAUAAGAUAAAGAAAAACUAACAUAUCAUUUUUUACUUGAACUUUGCCGUAGCAAAGCACGGAUGUUUUAGAGUGAUGUGUGUAUGAAGUAAAUGAGAAAAGAGAAUACAGACGUCUUUUAUCUUGAUUUCAGUUGUGUAACAUUUAUUUAAAAUGCAGUGCAUGAAACGCUGCUUUGUCUGAUGAAAGUCAAAAAUUGAAAAUUACAGUGUUCCGCAGAUCAAUGUCUUUAUAUCUAUUAUUCAUAACGUACCGAAAUAUGGCAGGAUUGCAUAUAUUUUGCAGAGAAAACAGAGAGUGACAUAUGCCACUAUUAGCCUGAUACCCUGAAAACCUAAAAGCAUUUUCAACACAGUGACAGACAGGCAGCCUUGGUUUGCUAACAGUAGGUCAAAUGAUCACCUAGGAUGUAAUAUUAUCGGUGAAACAAAUGCUUUUCAUUGAAUUUCAUGGAAUUUCAAUUUUGUUUGGAAUACCACAAUAUAAACAACAAGAAAACAAUUGUGAUCUUUAUUUUAAUGCUUCCAUUCCCCUAAUAUUCUGGUGAGGAAACAAAUAAUAGCAACAUUAGGACCAACAGGGUCUUGUCCAGUCACCCCAAAGUUCAAUAUAUAUGCAUCACAUAUUAAACGCCUCUAUUGUUAGAAACCGUGAGUUUAAAUGCAUAUAAAGCUAAUUUCUGUUUGCAUUUAGCUUGUUCUAGAGAAAAGCACAUAUUUCCGCUAUUUUUUGUGUGCAAGUGCCGACCCUUUAAAAUCUGCAUAACAGUUGCGCUAAAACAGGGAUGUUCCUCCCCAGACACAAUCAUAUACAAAUCCUUGAAUUUUCCCUCAAUUAAGAAUCAACAGCCGAACAAACAAAGGCCUUGAUGGGGAGAAGUAAAUGCAAGCUAAUGCAGAGAUAGCUGACAUCAACUUCCGUUAGACAGCUAUUACAGAUCGAACCUUUCGAUUGUAAGUGAAACAAUUUGCAUACUGAUUCCCUUUCAUAGCCUCGCAGAUCCAUAACAAGCCAGCCAGCUAUUCAAAUGCAAGUAGCAUCCCUAAAUGCAAGGAUAGACCGGCCAAAAAGCGCUGCCCUACGAGCUAGGGGAUAAGAAGAUCCAGGAUUUUUUCGCUGGAUGUUGGCUGUUUGAUAUUGGAAAUGGUGGCGGAAGAAAAUGAUCUUUUCUCCGGACGCAGGGCUGCGGCGUGGGGGCUCCGGACCCCGCGGAAGCACGGACGGAGCGUGGCGAACUCAGCUCUCGGCGAGACUGUUGACUGACAUUUUUAAUGACGCUCACUAACCCGCACGAAAACCGAACAAUAAAAAAAAGCUAAAAGAGAUGGACAAGUUCGAGUCUUUCACAUGAAAUUAUGCAGAUAAUUUUUGCUUGGGGGCAAGAAUGAGAGGCGUCCAGCGGCGGACGCUAAAAGAUGCAGCCUGCCACGAAAUCCUAGGAUCCUAGGGGUCCUCAAGAAGCUCAACAGGGGAAAGUCUAGAAAAGUUAAUCUGUUCCACUGGCAGCUGUUGGCUUUUGGAGUCUUGAAGCGUCACCUUUGACAUGUCCCCUUUUUAGAGAAGGAGGCUCCAAGCACUGACCACUGCAAGCUGUCACCACAGAAGAGGGGGGGACGCCUUCCCUGCAACCUGUCCCCAACGUCAUCAAAAGUUACCACACUGCCUGGUAUUUGAACAAAGGCCCGUGGGUCACUAUUUUCAAUAGGGCCCAAACAGAUGACAAAACGACAGCGCACAUGUAUUUUUUUAUUCUUCGUUUUCUGUUGCCCAUGUUCUUUUAAUUAUUAUUACAUAUUUUAACGGCCUAUUUUUACCUCCAGAGUGUUUUUCCGUAGCGUAUGUAGACACAGAACCUCACAAAAACUACAGUUAUAUUACAUUUACUGAAGAAAAAUCAAUGGUCUUCUUUUUGCUUUUUUUGGUUGCUUUUUUUAAACUAAAGAUUCAUUGGAGUAUUUUUCAGUUUUGUCAAUGACUGUAAAAAAAAAACUCGUUCAUUACAUGUUAUGUCUGUAUUUACGGGCAAUCCAAAAAUGUUGCAUUGUAAAAAUGCGUUGUUUGUACAUGUAAACAAUCAAAAGCAUUUAGACUGUUCAGCAUAGCCUUUUGUUUAUUCAUUUGAUUAAAAUGAUUUCUGUCUUCCUGGAGCAAUAAAAGAGUGACCACAUCA